rnacentral:rRNA from 1 species
CUACGGGGGGCUCCAGUGAGGAAUAUUGCACAAUGGAGGAAACUCUGAUGCAGCAACGCCGCGUGGAGGAUGACGCAUUUCGGUGUGUAAACUCCUUUUAUAUGUCAAGAAAAUGACGGUAGCAUAUGAAUAAGCACCGGCUAACUCCGUGCCAGCAGCCGCGGUAAUACGGAGGGUGCAAGCGUUACUCGGAAUCACUGGGCGUAAAGGAGGCGGAGGCGGGAUAUCAAGUCAGGUGUGAAAGCCUACAGCUUAACUGUAGAACUGAACUUGAAACUGGUAACCUAGAGUAUGGGAGGGGGAGAUGGAAUUAGUGGUGUAGGGGUAAAAUCCGUAGAUAUCACUAGGAAUACCUAAAGCGAAGGCGAUCCCCUGGAACAUAACUGACGCUAAGGCGUGAAAGCGUGGGGAGCAAAUAGGAUUAGAUACCCCGGUAGUC